rnacentral:rRNA from 1 species
AUUGAACGCUGGCGGCAGGCCUAACACAUGCAAGUCGAGCGGAUGAAGGGAGCUUGCUCCUGGAUUCAGCGGCGGACGGGUGAGUAAUGCCUAGGAAUCUGCUUGGUAGUGGGGGAUAACGUCCGGAAACGGGCGCUAAUACCGCAUCCGUCCUGAGGGAGAAAGUGGGGGAUCUUCGGACCUCACGCUAUCAGAUGAGCCUAGGUCGGAUUAGCUAGUUGGUGGGGUAAAGGCCUACCAAGGCGACGAUCCGUAACUGGUCUGAGAGGAUGAUCAGUCAAGCUGGAACUGAAACACGGUCCGAUCGCCUACGAGAGGCAGCAGAGGGGAAUAUUGGACAAUGGGCGAAAGCCUGAUCCAGCCAUUCCGAGUGUGUGAAGAAGGUCUUCAGAGUGUAAAGCACUUUAAGUUGAGAGUAAGGGCAGUAAGUUAAUACCUUGCUGUGUUGACGUUACCAACAGAAUAAGCACCGGCUAACUUCGUG